GCCUGGGUGGCUCAGUCGGUUGAGCGUCCGACUUCAGCCCGGGUCACGAUCUCGCGGCCUGUGAGUUCGAGUCCCGCGUCAGGCU
rnacentral:tRNA from 1 species